UGUCACUAAGCCCACGGUUCCAACCUUGCUUAAACCUAACACAGAGUGAUUCUGUGUUGUACUUUUUAAAGGAGGGAAAAGUCUUCAAGACUUGAACAAGGAAUCUGGAUCAUCAGUCAAGAUGGUAGGAGAAGUCUAGGAGUCAAAGAGUCUGCUACUUCAUGCAAAUCAUUGCAAAACUCCCCACAGUGUGAUCCAAAUGCUGUUUGUCAGUGUGCCAGUCCAGCCCUUCUCUUCUCAGACGUGGGGACAGGGGAGAGGCUGGCGUGGAGUGGUGUCUGAUGAGACUCGUCACAAUGAACAGACCUUGUUAAUAUCAUCCAAAAAGAAUUACCUUUUUUGUGGACUACAUACUCAAACCACACAUCAAGUCACUGAAAUGAUCAGACACUAUUACUGAUGAGAGCUACAUUCACAACACUAUUCUGUUUUCUGAAGAAUGCAUUUUGCACAUGUUGUAUAUACGGUUUAUAUCUAGAUAUCCCCCCCAAAGACUCAUGAGCUCAGAGGUGGGGCUUUUGGGAGGUGACUGGGUCUUGGGGGUGUGAUACUCAUUAGUGGAUUCAUCUCCUGAUGAGUGUAUCACUAAAUGUGAUUUGGGAGAUGAAGCCUGGUAUGAGGACAUGGAUUACUGGGAGUGUGGCCUUAAGGGUAGAUCUCCCUCCUCCUCCUUGAUCCCUGUCUCUGGUUCCUGCCGCUUCCAGGCCCAUCCGCCAUGCAUCUCUGCCUUGGAGCCAGCUGACUGUGGGCUAAAACCUCUACAAACUGCAAUCUUGAAUAAACCUUUCCUCUUUUAGAUCAUGAGUGUUGGGUAUUGUGUCCCAGUGAGGAGAAAGUAACUAAGACACCUUGAGAUUUUAAUUACAUAAGUGGUGUUAAACUAUUCCACAUAUGUAAAAGAAAAAUCAUAAUUUUAAGGGUAAACUCAUUCAGUCAUGUACUAUAUCUUUGAUAUAGUUUGGGAAAGAUGUCAAAUUUUAAAUAAGACUGGUUCCAGGAAAUAACAAACAACAGUUUCAAUAUAUUGAUUAUAAUCAUUAGUUUGGGACUUGCAGAAGUAAUAUCAUUCCUUAAUUUUCUUCUGAAUAAAAUCUAUUUUUUUCUUAGGAUAUCUCAGCAUGACAAAAGACAUUCAUGGCUAUUUGCUUUUCCACUUAUCAUUUCUGGGGAUGAUUGCACUAUAGAUAUGCACUAGUUUUUCAAGGGGGUAAUUUUCACCUAAGAGCUGCUGCUCUCUUAGUGUUGGAUUACAAGUAACAAGGAAAACACCUAGUUUGUAUCCCC
rnacentral:lncRNA from 1 species